rnacentral:lncRNA from 1 species
AGGUGGCGAGUCAACAAUUGGGGGUUCAUCAUAAGUAGCUGGUGGCGGAGGUGAUGAUCUAAUAGGUGGUGGAGGUGGCUGAGUAUAUGCUGGUGGUGGUGGUUUCCUUAUUGGUAGCUGAGUAGCUGGUGGUGGUAGUUUUGGUGGCUGAGAAAGUGGCGGUGCCCGUUGCAUUGCCGGUGGUGGUGUUGCUCGUUGCGUUGCUGGUGGCUGAGCAGCCGGUGACGGAGAUGGAGGUUUAAUAGGUGGCUUAGCAGAUGGUGGUUGCUUUGCUGGUGGCGGCGGAGGUGGAGGUGGUUGUUUUGGUGGUUGAGAUGGUGGUGGAGGCAGCAGAGGAGGUGGUGACUUAGCUGGUGGCGGCGGUGGUGACUUAGCAGGCGGCGGAGGGGAUGACUUAACCUGUGGUGGUGGUGAUGGUGAUGGCUUGUUUACCGGUG